rnacentral:rRNA from 1 species
UACGGAGGGUGCAAGCGUUAUCCGGAUUUACUGGGUUUAAAGGGUGCGUAGGUGGGUUGGUAAGUCAGUGGUGAAAUACUUUCGCUUAACGAAGGAACUGCCAUUGAUACUACCAGUCUUGAAUACAGUGGAGGUAGGCGGAAUGCGUCAUGUAGCGGUGAAAUGCUUAGAUAUGACGCAGAACACCAAUUGCGAAGGCAGCGUGCUGCACUGUUAGUGACACUGAGGCACGAAAGCGUGGGGAUCAAACAGG